rnacentral:lncRNA from 1 species
UGAAGGAUGUACACCUUUUUCUGGGAGAAUCCCAGAGAAGUCAAUUAUCAAGUUUGGCAGCUGUGGUUUACCUUGGUGAGUAAUAAAUUCAUCACAACAAGAAGAAAAACUUGCUAUGAUUUAAUCAGAGGCAGAGCCAGGAAGUAGUCCACCCUUGAUUCUUACUAUCAGGUCAGACUAUUGAAAAGUGGAGGAACUGGUGAAACCUGCUGGAAAGGAGCGAGUCAUUAUGCCUGUGUUUGAUGAAGGUUGCUGCAUUCUCUCUCUCUCUCUCUCUAGCAAAACUGAACUAUUCUUCAAGGCAAUACCUUUUUCCCCAGAAAUGCAGCCUGUGCUAAUGGUGUGCUGUGAUGGCCUUUCCUCCCUUUUUGAUCCAGUCAUUUGGCAUGUAAACCUCUUUAACAUUGUCCCUUCCUGGCACCUUCUGUGCUCUUGGGCACACCCGUCCUUGGGUCUAUAUAAGGAAAUAAAAAGCACAGAUGGUAGAAGGACUGGGCGGGCAGGUGAGUAAAGCAGGGC